GACGAACGCUGGCGGCGUGCUUAACACAUGCAAGUCGAACGAAGUGGCGAACGGGUGAGUAACGCGUAAUCAACCUGCCCUUCAGAGGGGGACAACAGUGGGAAACGACUGCUAAUACCGCAAACUGAAGGAGGGGAAUGCGUGUGAAUCGCUAGUUGGAGGGGUAACGGCCCACCAAGGCGAGGAGCCGUAGCCGGUCUGAGAGGAUGAGCGGCCACAUUGGGACUGAGACACGGCCCAGACUCCUACGGGAGGCAGCAGUGGGGAAUCUGCCGAAAUGGACGAAAGUCUGACGGAGCAACGCCGCGUGAGUGAUGACGGCUUUCGGGUUGUAAAGCUCUGUUAAUCGGGACGCGGUACCGGAAUAGAAAGCCACGGCUAACUACGUGCCAGCAGCCGCGGUAAUUC
rnacentral:rRNA from 1 species